AGUCGACCACACAGUUUGAAAACGUCUUGAAAACUUCCCAUUGGGUCCUUGUGUUACCGGAAGUGAUCCAGGAUCCAGUGACCUCACAAAGUGGCAGCACAGCCCCAGGACCUGCAGGGGGACCCUGAUAAUGGACGGACAAAAGAUGGCGGCAAAACUGAGCCUCAAGUUUAUAUCAGGUCCCAUCCCCUCUGCAUGACUGGCCCUCACUGACAAGUGGAAAUCACAGAGAUCCUACUGGCAAAAGAAGGAGAGUGAAGAAGACUUCAGAAACGUGUACCCUACAGCUAUCAGUGUCCUGAACUCCAGAAUGAAGACACCAAGCGCAUCUCCUCCACUAUAUACUAUAAAAACCUGUGAGAACAUGUUCACAAAAAAUUUAGAGGGGGGCUAGACAAAAAGGUUUGCUGCAUGGUGAUUUUUUUUGACUUCCUAAGAUAAAUAAGUGAUAGAAAAGAGGGAAGUGAGGGUGCUUUACUUUGCCAAAAGGGACCUUGGGUUUUGCCCUGUGGGCAUGGCAGCUUUCAUUUUCCUCUUUCCUCCGUUCAUAUUCCCAGCCGGUUUCCGGAGUUAUGAUUGAGUUUCACAUAUUGGAGUUAUAUCUGGCAGCCAGACUUGUUUAUCUGCUGGGGCUGAUAACUGUACUGGCCUGAGUGUGAAGCAGAAAGCGAGGGGAGGGAGACAGAGAGUGGGAGGGAGAUACAGAGAGACACACCACUCAUAUAUUCUCAUCUCCUCCAGUCUUUUCUCAUUGAUUUAGCAUGUCUUCAUCAACAGUCUGACCCAGGUACGCCUUUUUUUUUUUCUUUAUCUCACACUCCGGCUCAGACCUCUGGUAUGGACUCAAAGGGAGGACCUGCCAAGCACGUGUCAGUCAAAGCAGCUGGAAAAUUGACUCAACCAAGCCAAGGACACAAUUUAAAGGGACAUUUGGACUCCAUAGUAAAAUCCCAGGAUAUUUUUUAAGCAAAAGAUAACCCGGGAGAUAAAAAAUCUAUGUUAGUGUGUCUGUUCAUUUUUAAUAAGUGUCAGACAUUAGUUGAGUUGAUGAUCGAGUCAGGUUUUCACAUGAGGAAAAGAAACGGCGAAGAAAGAAGUAAUGAAUGACAGAGGGUCAACACACUAUUUGGCUCAGUUAUAAUCUCACUAAAACUAUGAUGCCACAACGUCUUCAAGACACAUCUGUCAAGGACUGGCUGAGUCCAGAUGAAAGGAAAGGGAGACAAAGAGACUUCGGGAGGGUCGAGAGAGGGGGAGACAGAAGAGAGGAGGACUGAGGGAGAGAGAGAGAGAGAGAGAGAGAGAGAGGGCGCAGUGCUUGCUGGACCCUGACUGUGUGCGAGGCCUCAAUUAUUCAUGCGGCAGUGCACAUGUCAAGAGCUCACAGACAAGCACAACAGCAAGGCCGAGCGCAAAUCAAACAGCGCAUCCGUGGGCAAUGCCCACAAUGCACCUGGAGGAACACACCUCGGCCCAUUUCUCUGUUGUUCUCGGAUAAACAGAGAACAAGGCUACCUGAGCACUGCCUGAUUCUCCUCAAGAGCCAAGAGCUGCUGAAAUAGUCUUUGUUUGUUUGUUUUUCUCCCCACACCCCACCCACUUUAUUUACUCACUUCUCUUUUGGCAGCGGUGUCGGCGCCCGUGGGUUCCAUCUUUUCAUGGCUCAUUAGCCCAUUGUUUCGUUCACUUUAUUUCUCGCAACCGAGCUUUCAUGCUCGUAAUGUUGUUUAAGUCCGCCGCCGCUCGGCACUGGUCCCCAACAUGUCAACAUUAACUACGGCUGAGGUUUGUCUCCUCGCGUGCUGGAGGUUAAAAAUAUGGCUCCACACUUCCAUUCUCAUCUUGUCUUAGUUUAUCGACCGCUGCCUGGCUGUCUGCUCCGUCUGCUCCGUCUGUCCAUGCACUCCCAGGCUUUCUCCCAACACUAAUGCAGACUUUUUUCAAUAUUAUUAUUGUAUUUGUCAAGGCUCCAAAAAAACAUCCAGCACCGGGAACUGCAGCUAAUCAGACAAGAAAUACUUCAAGCCUUUUUGGCUCUGCUUUAAUUGUGCUGUAGUCACAUAUUCAAUGAUGCGUGUGUCAUACUGUCUUAAAAUAGCUUGAUAACUAACAACUAAAUCGACAUUUUGUUUUCACAUCAUCAUUUAGCCUGAUAUUGUGCUCAUUUGAGAAAUGUUGUGUUUGGAGGGGUCUUAUUUUACCAUAACUAAUGAGUAGAACCUAUAAAUCCAACCUGUUACCUUCACCAAAGAGGUUAUGUUUUCGUCCGUGUCUGUUUCUUUGUUUGAUUGUUGGAUUAUUUAUAGGAUUUCACAAAAACUACUGAACCAAUUUCCACUACAACGUGCUGGAGGGAGUUUGGUGCGGACGUGGAUUAACGGACAGACUAAGGAUUGCAGUUUUGAACACUCUGUAACUAUGUUUUAUGGCAAAUAAAUAAUUUAAACUGUCA